rnacentral:rRNA from 1 species
CCUACGGGAGGCAGCAGUGGGGAAUAUUGCACAAUGGGGGAAACCCUGAUGCAGCGACGCCGCGUGAGUGAAGAAGUAAUUCGGUACGUAAAGCCCUAUCAGCAGGGACGAAAAUGAUGGUACCUGUGCAAGAAGCCAUGGCCAAGUACGUGCCAGCAGCCGCGGUAAUACGUAGGGGGCAAGCGUUAUCCGGAUUAACUGGGUGUAAGGGGAGUGUAGACGGUGCGACAAGUCCGAAGGGAAAUGCUGCAGCCUACCGGCGGAACCGCUUUUGAAACUGGCGAGCUAGAGUGCGGGAGGGGUCAGCGGAAUUCCAGGUGUAGCGGUGACUGGCGUAGAUAUUAGGAGGAACACCGGUGGCGAAGGCGGCUUACUGGACCGUAACUGACGUUGAGGCUCGAAAGCGUGGGGAGCAAACAGGAUUAGAUACCCUUGUAGUC